rnacentral:rRNA from 1 species
GAUGAACGCUGGCGGCGUGCCUAAUACAUGCAAGUCGAGCGAAUGGAUUAAGAGCUUGCUCUUAUGAAGUUAGCGGCGGACGGGUGAGUAACACGUGGGUAACUUGCCCAUAAGACUGGGAUAACUCCGGGAAACCGGGGCAAAUACCGGAUAACAUUUUGAACCGCAUGGUUCGACAUUGAAAGGCGGCUUCGGCUGUCACUUCUGGAUGGACCCGCGUCGCAUUAGCUAGUUGGUGAGGUAACGGCUCACCAAGGCAACGAUGCGUAGCCGACCUGAGAGGGCGAUCGGCCACACUGGGACUGAGACACGGCCCAGACUCCUACGGGAGGCAGCAGUAGGGAAUCUUCCGCAAUGGACGAAAGUCUGACGGAGCAACGCCGCGUGAGUGAUGAAGGCUUUCGGGUCGUAAAACUCUGUUGUUAGGGAAGAACAAGUGCUAGUUGAAUAAGCUGGCACCUUGACGGUACCUAACCAGAAAGCCACGGCUAACUACGUGCCAGCAGCCGCCGUAA